rnacentral:rRNA from 1 species
AAACCAGCACCUCAAGUGGUCAGGAUGAUUAUUGGGCCUAAAGCAUCCGUAGCCGGCUCUGUAAGUUUUCGGUUAAAUCUGUACGCUUAACGUACAGGCCGCCGGGAAUACUGCAGAGCUAGGGAGUGGGAGAGGUAGACGGUACUCGGGAGGAGGUGGUAAAAUGCUUUGAUCUCUCGAUGACCACCUGUGGCGAAGGCGGUCUACCAGAACACGUCCGACGGUGAGGGAUGAAAGCUGGGGGAGCAAACCGGAUUAGAUACCCCAGUAGUCC